rnacentral:rRNA from 1 species
CACGUAGUUGGCCGGUGCUUCUUUACCCAUUACCGUCACUCACGCUUCGUCACAGGCGAAAGCGGUUUACAACCCGAAGGCCGUCAUCCCGCACGCGGCGUUGCUGCAUCAGGCUUCCGCCCAUUGUGCAAUAUUCCCCACUGCUGCCUCCCGUAGGAGUCUGGGCCGUAUCUCAGUCCCAAUGUGGCCGGUCACCCUCUCAGGCCGGCUACCCGUCAAAGCCUUGGUAAGCCACUACCCCACCAACAAGCUGAUAAGCCGCGAGUCCAUCCCCAACCGCCGAAACUUUCCAACCCCCACCAUGCAGCAGGAGCUCCUAUCCGGUAUUAGCCCCAGUUUCCUGAAGUUAUCCCAAAGUCAAGGGCAGGUUACUCACGUGUUACUCACCCGUUCGCCACUCGAGCACCCCACAAAAGCAGGGCCUUUCCGUUCGACUUGCAUGUGUUAAGCACGCCGCCAGCGUUCGUCCUCGAGCCAGGACUCAAACUCU